rnacentral:lncRNA from 1 species
CCUUCUACCGCUUCCUCUCCGCCUUUCUUUUCAGUUUUUGCACCGCCUCCUUUCUCCCCCACCCCCUCCAGUGGUUUCUUUCCUUUGGGUUUGAGAGCCAUGGGUUAAUAGAGGCAAUUAAAAUCUCAGCGUUGUUUUGGUCAAAUUGAAAUCCUAAAACUAAAAUUUCCGUUAGGUACUCUAAAUUCACGAGCCUUCAAAUAUAAAAGGAAGAUAAGGUAGGAAAAAGGAAAAUGAUGUGCUGAGGGACUAUCAAGGGCCCAGGCACCGUACUGCUGCAGGCGCUUUCUCUGGGGUAUAGCUUAUCUAGUUCCUGUCACCCAGGACAAAAGAUAAAAGAGCAAAGAAGCAGUUAAAAUAAUACCCUCCCUUUAAAAAUUUGUCUGUCUAUACUGAGAACUGAAAUGCUUAAAAUCAAAUUCUGCAGGCAGUCUGGCAUGGCUACGCUGUAAUCCCAGCUACUCGGGAGGCUGAGGAGGGAGGUUAGCCUGAGCCGGGGAAGCGGAGCUUGCAAUGAUCGGAGAUCGCGCCACUGCACUCUAGCCUGGGCAACAGAACAAGCCCCUGUCUUAAAAACAAAACAAAAUCUUCAGAGCAGGCUUAAAAAAAAAUCUCCCUAGGGGA